rnacentral:rRNA from 1 species
GAUGAACGCUGGCGGCGUGCCUAAUACAUGCAAGUCGAGCGAACAGACGAGGAGCUUGCUCCUCUGACGUUAGCGGCGGACGGGUGAGUAACACGUGGAUAACCUACCUAUAAGACUGGGAUAACUUCGGGAAACCGGAGCUAAUACCGGAUAAUAUAUUGAACCGCAUGGUUCAAUAGUGAAAGACGGUUUUGCUGUCACUUAUAGAUGGAUCCGCGCCGCAUUAGCUAGUUGGUAAGGUAACGGCUUACCAAGGCGACGAUGCGUAGCCGACCUGAGAGGGGGAUGGGCCCACCUGGACCGGAGAAAGGGCCAAGACCCCUAGGGGGGGCAGCGGUGGGAAUUUUUCCGCAAGGGGCGAAAGCCUGACGGAGCAACGCCGGGGGAGUGAUGAAGGUCUUCGGUUCGUAAAACGCUGUUAUUGGGGAAGAACAAAUGUGUAAGUAACAAGGCACGUCUGGCCGGUACCUAAUAAGAAGGCCCCGCCUACUACCGU